AGAACCUUACCAAGGCUUGACAUAUAGGUAAAAGUGGCAGAGAUGUCAUGUCCGCAAGGGCUCUAUACAGGUGGUGCAUGGUUGUCGUCAGCUCGUGUCGUGAGAUGUUGGGUUAAGUCCCGCAACGAGCGCAACCCUCGUUCUGUGUUGCCAGCAUUUAGUUGGGGACUCACAGGAGACUGCCGGGGUUAACUCGGAGGAAGGUGGGGAUGACGUCAAAUCAUCAUGCCCCUUAUGUCUUGGGCUGCACGCAUGCUACAAUGGCCGGUACAGAGGGCUGCAAUACCGUAAGGUGGAGCGAAUCCCAAAAAGCCGGUCUCAGUUCGGAUUGAGGUCUGCAACUCGACCUCAUGAAGUUGGAGUUGCUAGUAAUCGUAGAUCAGCAACGCUACGGUGAAUACGUUCCCGGGGCUUGUACACACCGCCCGUCACGUCACGAAAGUCGGUAACACCCAAAGUCAGUGCCCAACC
rnacentral:rRNA from 1 species